rnacentral:rRNA from 1 species
AUUGAACGCUGGCGGCAUGCCUUACACAUGCAAGUCGAACGGCAGCGGGGGAGAAGCUUGCUUUUCCUGCCGGCGAGUGGCGAACGGGUGAGUAAUACAUCGGAACGUGCCCUGUAGUGGGGGAUAACUAGUCGAAAGAUUAGCUAAUACCGCAUACGACCUGAGGGUGAAAGUGGGGGACCGCAGGGCCUCAUGCUAUAGGAGCGGCCGAUGUCUGAUUAGCUAGUUGGUGGGGUAAAGGCCUACCAAGGCGACGAUCAGUAGCUGGUCUGUUGGGACGAGCAUCUGCACUGGGACUGAGACACGGCCCAGACUCCUACGGGAGGCAGCAGUGGGGAAUUUUGGACAAUGGGCGAAAGCCUGAUCCAGCAAUGCCGCGUGUGUGAAGAAGGCCUUCGGGUUGUAAAGCACUUUUGUCCGGAAAGAAAUGGCUCUGGUUAAUACCUGGGGUCGAUGACGGUACCGGAAGAAUAAGGACCGGCUAACUACGUGCCAGCCGCCGCCGUAA